rnacentral:rRNA from 1 species
GGACCAUCAUGUCGGUCGUGCCUCGGUACGUACUGGUAUUGUUGGUUUCUUCCUUCUGACAAACCAUGAUGUCAUUAAUUUGGUGUCAUGGGGAAUCAGGACUGUUACUUUGAAAAAAUUAGAGUGUUUAAAGCAGGCUCACGCUUGAAUACAUUAGCAUGGAAUAAUGAAAUAGGACGUUUGAUUCUAUUUUGUUGGUUUCUAGGAUCGACGUA